UGUUGACCUUGCUGCUGUCCAUAUCCUUGAGAUCCUUCAGAACAGUUCAAUCUGGAGAAGCUUUCAUUUUUUUUGUAAUCUUGUCAAAACAAGCCUGUCCUUUCUGUAGAAACGCUCAACACAAGUGAUAACAACAACAAUAACAGUAAAAUGAAAGAAACUCAGCUGGGUAAAAUGCUAAUAGAUGUGUCAGCUGCUGGCUUUGUUGUUGGUGUCUGUUUGGUUUGAUGAGCACCAUUAAGAAGCGUUCGUCCUUGCUUACUGUUACACAGGAAGCAGAUUUCUUUUUGUUGCUGUCGAGUAAUUAUCCUUUUCAUUAGUUUCCGAGACCCUUUGAAUGCAAGGUCUCCUGGAACUUGCGUUCACUGCGUUCCGUUUCAUAUUAACUGGGAGAAGGCCUUUCACUCUCUUCCAGCAUCGCUAAUAACACCCCCGCCUGCCUCAAGGACACUGCAUCCCUGAUUCCUCUGUACUAGGCUUAGCCAACUACUGUUUCCAGUGAAUCUGUGGUUUCCACACACAAACAGCAGGCAGCCAAAAAGAUGAAUUGUCUGGAACCUAAUAAACGAGUUAAACUACUCUGGAUAUCUCUUCUGCUCCAGGUUUGAGAAGUGCAGAUUGGGCGUGCUGAACUCAGAGCUGUUCCCGCUGAUGGCGCUGAACAGUGCAUCCUCCUGGUUGGGUUUGUCUUUCCCUCCAUCCUGACAGUGGAGGCUCAUGGGAGUGGCUGUGUACCUGCUGUCCUGGUAUCCAAUGACCCGGAUGAAGCCCUCUGCUAGCAUGGCUCUGUCAAUGAGGAAAAGACUGUCUCUACCUCCGCUACGCUCCCCUGCCUCCCGAGCCCGCUCCUUCUCCACCCUUGCUCUGCAGUGGUGGAACGACCUUCCUACAGAUGUCAGGACUGCCCAGUCCCUGACCACAUUCCGGCGCCUCCUUAAGACUCACCUCUUCAAAUAGCACCUGUAGAACUCCUCUGUUGUAUCCUGGGACACUAUCACCCUUCAUUUAAAUGUGCUUUAUUUUGCUCUUAUCUGCCCCCUAUUUUACUGCAUUUAAUCCUGUACUUCAGAAUAUUGUAAUCUGCCAAGUGUUUAACCUGUAGUAUUUUGUACUUAAUCAUAUCCUGAUGUAACUAUCACUAUUUAAUCAUAUCCUGAUGUAACUAUCACUAUUAUCUGCUGUAUUAUUGAAUUAUGGUUUGUCACACUUGAACAAAAAUUAUUGUAUUUCUUGCUCUUAUUGUAUUACUUGUAUUGUAACACUUGAAUGUAUUUGUAUUUGCUUGCGAUUGUAAGUCGCCCUGGAUAAGGGCGUCUGCUAAGAAAUAAAUAAUAAUAAUAAUAAUAUGAAAUAAACAUUCAAUAUGAAAAACCUAUUUGCCUCACACAUUCCCAAUGCUGCUUGAAAAUCAACAUCACAACAAGAACAACCUCAUACUUACAAAUACAGUUAGUAGCAAAAUAAUAGUGUAGUGCCAUAUACAGCAAGUAGACAGACAAUUUGCAUUGGCAUCAUUUUUAGCAACACAUUCCAAUGACAGGAUCAUGUAGCUGCUAUUGACAGGAAAGGUGUUUAAGUCCGUGGCUUGA